AGUUACUAUAGAUAAAUAGUAUGGCUGGCCAUUUUUUUCUGAUAAAAUAAGAGACUAUGUUUAAUCCUGGUUUUCUCUUAUAAAUUUAUUAUUGUGGAUCUCUAUUAACCAAACUUUUCCUUGUUACAAAUAAGAAAAUCCCAUUUUAGAGAGAUGAGUAUUUUUCAGGUAUUCACACAGUAGGGCCAGAGCUCAGAUUCUGUAUUCAAUUCUAUUCCACUUCACUGCUAUCUCCUUUUUGGUCCCUUGGCUCCCUCUCAGUUUGGGGGAUGGUUUUUUAAAUAUGAUUCCAGGUUUUUCUCAUUAAAAUUGGCAUUGUGAACAGGAUCUGAGAGACCAAAUGGUGAGUCAGGGAGGAGUAUCUAUGGAGGAAAUCUCAGAGUUGGCAACGUGCAUGUGAGGUGGACUAGCCCAAUUGUUCAAACUUUGUGGGCCACCACAUAAGUAUGGGGACACUUGGAAAACACUGGUAGAGACUGAGCACCUAUUGCAAGAAGCUAAGAUAUUAAAGUACAAUAAAGAUAGUAAAUGCACUGUUGUUGCAAUAAGGCUAGCUACUAAGAAAUCAUUAGAGCAGGAAAGGGAGAAAGAGUAAAAACUCCUGCAGAGGGUCAAAGGCAUAUCAGGUUUUCUAGGACUCCAGCUUGUUACAUAUCAUGGUCCCUUCUUGUGCACAUUUGAAAACUGACGGGCAAAUUACCAAAAAAAAAAAAAAAUCAGAGCUCAAAUGGUUAACCCACAACUAUAAAGUUAAGCAGAAUCUUCUAACACUUUCUAUUUCUCUCUCUCUUUUUCUGCCUGCUUUGAAUCUGCUAUUUUUAAGUUGCUAGUGUUGAAAUAAAACUCACUGUUUAUGGUAACACUAAUUCAAGGUUGUCUCAUGGCUAGAAUUCCAAGGUGAAAGCCAUUGGAUCUUUGUAUGUGUGCAUACAUGUUUAAAUGUGUUUAUGUGUAUGUACAUGUAUUAUGUUAUGUGUUAUAUCUAGCAUUCUACCACAUUAACUUAUAAAUAAAUGAGUACUCAUAAAUAAGUUCAAAUGCUUUCCAAGUUUAUAUAAAUUCAAUAAUCUUUGGUAAAUAAACUGGCUUUAAAAUUACUGGUAAAAUAAAAGUGUAUCUUCAAAAGUGUCAGCAUACAUUUUUGUCUGAGUUUGCUAGUAGAUACAUUUUAUAUUUGCUUCUGCUAGAUACUUUAUGGUGUCAGGGUUUAACAUGAAGGUUAUAAGACUGUAAACCCAGCCAAAAACAAAAUGAUCUUUGUUUGUGUGAUUUUUUUUAAUAAGCAAGAUUAAUUUGAUAUGGUUGGUUUAAUGGAAACAGCUGAAUUUUUCUGAGUUAUCAGCAAAAAUGCCCAUGUUUAACUUGAAGGUUCUUGCUUAGCUGAAUACCUGAUAUUCACAAGCUAUGAAAAUAGUUAACAGAAAAAUAGUUUGCAAUGAUAUGUAGCUUUACAGAAUGUCUUGGUUCUCACUAGUAACCCAGAUAAACUGCUAAAAGUGAAUAGAUUGAGUAAAUGUAAAUGAGAUCAACGCUUGUGGGUAAAACUUUCAUGUAGUUUAAACUCUUAAAGUUAUUUUAGGCACUCAUUGAAUGUCUUGAUCACUUCCAGUUUAAAAAAGGUUGUAAUAUGGGGGAAGCAUUGGUGGACUUCAGUGAGCUGGAUAAAAACAAAGACCAUAUCCAAAAAGUAAUUAAGGAACAAAAAAGGGAUGAUGGGCCAAAUGGGUGUCUGUACACUUGCCCCGGCCCAAACAGGCAAUAUAUAUGAAACAAUACUGUCUGCCAGGGGGACACUCUGAAAUCACCCAAACAGUUCAGGAAUUACAUAAAGUACAAAUAGUCAGUAUGGCCCACAACCCCUGUAGCAGCCCUAUGUGUCCUGUGAAGACACCAGAUAGCACCUGGAGAAUGACUGUAGACUACCGUGAGCUGAACAAAGUGGUGUCCCCGCACGUGCAGCUGUACCCAAUAGUGCUCAACUGCUAGAGCAAGUGGUUUGUACACUGGGAAAUGUCCAUGCUGUGACUGACCUGUCUAACAUCUUUCCUAGUAUUCCUUUAGUGGAAGAUUCACAAGACCAGUUUGCCUUCACUUAGUAGGGCCAAUGAUAGACUUUUUAGGUGCUACCACAAGGGUACCUGCACAGCCACAUCAUAUGUCACAGUAUGGUUGCAAAGGACCUGUCUAGACUCUUUCUGCCUGCCUUGGUCUCCCUGUUUUACCAUAUUAAUGAUGACAUGCAAACCUCAGAGCCUUUUACAGAUUUGGAGACUGCCCUACAAACUAUCUUGGAUGGCUCAAAGUACAGGGAAUGAGAAGUCAACCCCAAGAAGAAACAGGGG
rnacentral:lncRNA from 1 species